rnacentral:rRNA from 1 species
UUUGACUGUACAAAGGUAGCAUAAUCAUUAGAUUUUUAAUUGAAAUCUAGAAUGAAUGGUUGGAUGAAAAAUUAACUUUUUUAUUUUUAAUUUAUUUAAUUUUUUUUAUUAGUAAAAAUACUAAUAUUUUAUUUUAAGACGAGAAGACCCUAUAGAAUUUUAUAUUAUAUUUUAUUAAAAAUAUUUAAUAUUAUUAUUUUAAAAAAAUAAAAAUAUUUAAUUGGGGUGAUUUAAAAAUAUUUAACUUUUUAUUAAUUUUUUUCAUUUAUUAAUGUUUUUUUGAUCUUUUAGUAUAGAUUAAUAAAUUAAAUUACCUUAGGGAUAACAGCAUAAUAAUUUUAAAGAGUUCUUAUUUUUAAAAUAAUUUAUGACCUCGAUGUUGGAUUAAAAUAAUUAUUAUAUGAAGAAAUAUAUUUAAUAAGUCUGUUCGACUUUUAAAAUUUUACAUGAUCUGAGUUCAAAUCGGUGUAAGCCAGGUCGGUUUCUAUCU